rnacentral:rRNA from 1 species
GUGGGGAAUAUUGGACAAUGGGCGAAAGCCUGAUCCAGCCAUGCCGCGUGUGUGAAGAAGGUCUUCGGAUUGUAAAGCACUUUAAGUUGGGAGGAAGGGCAGUAAGUUAAUACCUUGCUGUUUUGACGUUACCGACAGAAUAAGCACCGGCUAACUUCGUGCCAGCAGCCGCGGUAAUACGAAGGGUGCAAGCGUUAAUCGGAAUUACUGGGCGUAAAGCGCGCGUAGGUGGUUUUGUAAGUUGGAGGUGAAAUCCCCGGGCUCAACCUGGGAACUGCCUCCAAAACUACUGAGCUAGAGUACGGUAGAGGGUAGUGGAAUUUCCUGUGUAGCGGUGAAAUGCGUAGAUAUAGGAAGGAACACCAGUGGCGAAGGCGACUACCUGGACUGAUACUGACACUGAGGUGCGAAAGCGUGGGGAGCAAACAGGAUUAGAUACCCUAGUAGUCC